GUGGGGAAUUUUGGACAAUGGGCGCAAGCCUGAUCCAGCAAUGCCGCGUGCAGGAAGAAGGCCUUCGGGUUGUAAACUGCUUUUGUACGGAACGAAACGGUCCUGGCUAAUAUCCGGGGCUAAUGACGGUACCGUAAGAAUAAGCACCGGCUAACUACGUGCCAGCAGCCGCGGUAAUACGUAGGGUGCGAGCGUUAAUCGGAAUUACUGGGCGUAAAGCGUGCGAAGGCGGUGCUGUAAGACAGGCGUGAAAUCCCCGGGCUCAACCUGGGAAUUGCGCUUGUGACUGCAGUGCUGGAGUGCGGCAGAGGGGGAUGGAAUUCCGCGUGUAGCAGUGAAAUGCGUAGAUAUGCGGAGGAACACCGAUGGCGAAGGCAAUCCCCUGGGCCUGCACUGACGCUCAUGCACGAAAGCGUGGGGAGCAAACAGGAUUAGAAACCCGGGUAGUCC
rnacentral:rRNA from 1 species